rnacentral:rRNA from 1 species
CCUACGGGUGGCAGCAGUGGGGAAUAUUGCGCAAUGGGCGAAAGCCUGACGCAGCGACGCCGCGUGAGGGAUGAAGGUCUUCGGAUCGUAAACCUCUGUCAGCAGGGAAGAACGGUCACUGUGCUAAUCAGCAGUGAAUUGACGGUACCUGCAAAGGAAGCACCGGCUAACUCCGUGCCAGCAGCCGCGGUAAUACGGAGGGUGCGAGAGUUAAUCGGAAUUACUGGGCGUAAAGCGCUCGUAGGCGGUAUGUCAAGUCAAGGGUGAAAUCCCCGCGCUCAACGUGGGAACUGCUUUUGAAACUGGCAAACUGGAGUGUGUGAGAGGAUAGUGGAAUUCCAGGUGGAGGAGUGAAAGCCGUAGAUAUCUGGAGGAACAUCAGUGGCGAAGGCGACUAUCUGGCACAUAACUGACGCUGAGGAGCGAAAGCGUGGGUAGCAAACAGGAUUAGAUACCCUUGUAGUC